rnacentral:rRNA from 1 species
GAUGAACGCUGGCGGCGUGCCUAAUACAUGCAAGUCGAGCGAACAGACGAGGAGCUUGCUCCUCUGACGUUAGCGGCGGACGGGUGAGUAACACGUGGAUAACCUACCUAUAAGACUGGGAUAACUUCGGGAAACCGGAGCUAAUACCGGAUAACAUGUUGAACCGCAUGGUUCAACAGUGAAAGACGGUCUUGCUGUCACUUAUAGAUGGAUCCGCGCCGCAUUAGCUAGUUGGUAAGGUAACGGCUUACCAAGGCAACGAUGCGUAGCCGACCUGAGAGGGUGAUCGGCCACACUGGAACUGAGACACGGUCCAGACUCCUACGGGAGGCAGCAGUGGGGAAUCUUCCGCAAAGGGCGAAAGCCUGACGGAGCAACGCCGCGUGAGUGAAGAAGGUCUUCGGAUCGUAAAACUCUGUUAUUAGGGAAGAACAAAUGUGUAAGUAACUAUGCACGUCUUGACGGUACCUAAUCAGAAAGCCACGGCUAACUACGUG